GCCUGGGUGGCUCAGUUGGUUGGGCAAUCGACUUCAGCUCAGGUCAUGAUCUCACAGUUCGUGGGUUCGAGCCCCACGUCGGGCU
rnacentral:tRNA from 1 species